GCAAGACAAUGACUGAAGGGUGAAUGAUAUAUCUUCCAUGGAAAAACAGAUGUGCUCAAAGGAGAGAUGUCUUAAUGGAAAAGCAUGACUGAAGCAUAAAUGGAAACUUUCCUCAAAGAAGAGAUCUGGAAAGGUUAUGGUCAUCACUAAACUUACAGAAAACCAAAAAGAAAAUAAUACGAAGGAGGCACAGACAAAGAAGAGUUUAGAUGCAUAUUUUAAACUACCAAACUGGUUUAAAAUAACUUAUGAUGAAAGGGUCACUUAAGAAGGGCACUGCUUAAAAUUUAAGCAGGCAGUAAUGGAAAGCGACAGACCUCAAACAAUUUAAGCCUUUCACAGUUGAGUGAAUUCACAGUGACAGCAAGAUGAGAAUGUGCUA